UACGUAGGGUGCGAGCGUUAAUCGGAAUUACUGGGCGUAAAGCGUGCGCAGGCGGUUUUGUAAGACAGGCGUGAAAUCCCCGGGCUCAACCUGGGAAUGGCGCUUGUGACUGCAAAGCUGGAGUGCGGCAGAGGUGGAUGGAAUUCCGCGUGUAGCAGUGAAAUGCGUAGAUAUGCGGAGGAACACCGAUGGCGAAGGCAAUCCCCUGGGCCUGCACUGACGCUCAUGCACGAAAGCGUGGGGAGCAAACAGG
rnacentral:rRNA from 1 species